rnacentral:rRNA from 1 species
AGAGUUUGAUCAUGGCUCAGAUUGAACGCUGGCGGCAGGCCUAACACAUGCAAGUCGAGCGGUAACAGGGGUAGCUUGCUACCCGCUGACGAGCGGCGGACGGGUGAGUAAUGCAUAGGAAUCUGCCCGAUAGUGGGGGAUAACCUGGGGAAACCCAGGCUAAUACCGCAUACGUCCUACGGGAGAAAGGGGGCUCCGGCUCCCGCUAUCGGAUGAGCCUAUGUCGGAUUAGCUAGUUGGUGAGGUAAAGGCUCACCAAGGCGACGAUCCGUAGCUGGUCUGAGAGGAUGAUCAGCCACAUCGGGACUGAGACACGGCCCGAACUCCUACGGGAGGCAGCAGUGGGGAAUAUUGGACAAUGGGGGGAACCCUGAUCCAGCCAUGCCGCGUGUGUGAAGAAGGCCCUCGGGUUGUAAAGCACUUUCAGUGAGGAAGAACGCCUGGUGGUUAAUACCCAUCAGGAAAGACAUCACUCACAGAAGAAGCACCGGCUAACUCCGUGCCAGCAGCCGCGGUAAUACGGAGGGUGCGAGCGUUAAUCGGAAUUACUGGGCGUAAAGCGCGCGUAGGUGG